rnacentral:rRNA from 1 species
AGAGUUUGAUUAUGGCUCAAAUUGAACGCUGGCGGCAUGCUUUACACAUGCAAGUCGAACGGCAGCACGGGUGCUUGCACCUGGUGGCGAGUGGCGGACGGGUGAGUAAUGCAUCGGAACGUGCCCAGGAGUGGGGGAUAACGCAUCGAAAGAUGUGCUAAUACCGCAUAUACUCUGAGGAGUAAAGCAGGGGACCGCAAGGCCUUGCGCUUUUGGAGUGGCCGAUGCCUGAUUAGCUAGUUGGUGGGGUNUUGGCCUACCAAGGCGACGAUCAGUAGUUGGUCUGAGAGGACGACCAGCCACACUGGGACUGAGACACGGCCCAGACUCCUACGGGAGGCAGCAGUGGGGAAUUUUGGACAAUGGGCGCAAGCCUGAUCCAGCAAUGCCGCGUGAGUGAAGAAGGCCUUCGGGUUGUAAAGCUCUUUCAGUUGAGAAGAAAAGGUUGUGGUAAAUAAUCACAAUUGAUGACGGUAUCGACAGAAGAAGCACCGGCUAACUACGUGCCAGCAGCCGCGGUAAUACGUAGGGUGCAAGCGUUAAUCGGAAAUUACUGGGCGUAAAGGGUGCGCAANCGGCUUUGUAAGUCAGAUGUGAAAUCCCCGGGCUUAACCUGGGAAUUGCGUUUGAAACUACAAGGCUAGAGUGUAGCAGAGGGGGGUGGAAUUCCAUGUGUAGCAGUGAAAUGCGUAGAGAUAUGGAAGAACAUCGAUGGCGAAGGCGGCCCCCUGGGUUAACACUGACGCUCAUGCACGAAAGCGUGGGGAGCAAGCAGGAUUAGAUACCCUGGUAGUCCACGCCCUAAACGAUGUCAACUAGUUGUCGGGCCUUUUUAGGUUUGGUAACGAAGCUAACGCGUGAAGUUGACCGCCUGGGGAGUACGGUCGCAAGAUUAAAACUCAAAGGAAUUGACGGGGACCCGCACAAGCGGUGGAUUAUGUGGAUUAAUUCGAUGCAACGCGAAAAACCUUACCUACCCUUGACAUGUAGCGAAUUUUCCAGAGAUGGAUUAGNNCCUUCGGGAACGCUAACACAGGUGCUGCAUGGCUGUCGUCAGCUCGUGUCGUGAGAUGUUGGGUUAAGUCCCGCAACGAGCGCAACCCUUGUCAUUAAUUGCCAUCAUUUAGUUGGGCACUUUAAUGAGACUGCCGGUGACAAACCGGAGGACGGUGGGGAUGACGUCAAGUCCUCAUGGCCCUUAUGGGUAGGGCUUCACACGUAAUACAAUGGCG